GUGAGCGUAGCCUAGUGGUAAGGCGUCAGACUGUGGAUCUGAAGACCGCGGGUUCAAUUCCCGUCGCUCACCCCA
rnacentral:tRNA from 1 species